UUUGACUCCUGGUCUUCUUUCUUUACACGGAUUUUGACCCCUGGUACUCUUACUUUACACUGGGGCUUUUGAGAUAGACGAAGUUAGCUUGCCAACAGAACUUGAGUUUCAUGUCUUAUCCUGUUAUUAUUGAAAGUUUGUGUACACAGGUCAAUAACUGAUACAAUGACAUGACAAAAAACCUGUGAAGAAUUUAUACCAGCUUUUUGUGAGGUUCUCCCAGAAUACAGAAAGAAAGGCAGGAGGUAAACGUACUUAGAAGUACAUUGGUCUGUUUUGAAUGGUUUUAUUCUCUGUCUUCUUGCUCAUUGUUACCAAACCCAAAAGUUGCCCCUUCAUUAUUCAGUUGUGCUCUGAGCAAAUACCCAACCAUUAUUGUACAACAGGGUAUCCAGUCAGACAAAUAUACCCUCUGAUUGCUCUUCUCGAAAUUUUACAGUGAGCUGAAAACAAUGUUCAUUUGUUAUUGGCAAGUUUUUUUUUUAUUAUUAUACUUGAAGUUCUGGGAUACAUUUGCAGAACGUGCAGGUUUGUUACAUAGGUUUACACGUGAUUGGCAAGUUUUAAAAACAGACAUUAUAAAAAUUCUUAAUAAAAUUGUCUUUUACUCUUUCAGUCUUGCAAUGGAAUUGUUUAUUCUUGAUUUAAUGUCUACCUGUGAUAUAGAUACAAUGAAAUUCCAAUACUGAGAGAAAAGACAUCUCGUGUGGGACGAACAGACACUGCACAGGCAAACUUUAAAGUAGUGACUUGAAAGUUUGGAUAAAAUCAUGUUGAAAAUAAACCUCAGUGAAUUCUUGGAAAUUGUUUAACCUUCUUGUGUUGGUCUGGCGGUUGCU